rnacentral:rRNA from 1 species
GACGAACGCUGGCGGCGUGCCUAAUACAUGCAAGUCGAACGCUUCUUUCCUCCCGAGUGCUUGCACUCAAUUGGAAAGAGGAGUGGCGGACGGGUGAGUAACACGUGUGUAACCUACCCAUCAUAGGGGGAUAACACUUGGAAACAGGUGCUAAUACCGCAUAACAGUUUAUGCCGCAUGGCAUAAGAGUGAAAGGCGCUUUCGGGUGUCGCUGAUGGAUGGACCCGCGGUGCAUUAGCUAGUUGGUGAGGUAACGGCUCACCAAGGCCACGAUGCAUAGCCGACCUGAGAGGGUGAUCGGCCACACUAGGACUGAGACACGGCCCAGACUCCUACGGGAGGCAGCAGUAGGGAAUCUUCGGCAAAGGACGAAAGUCUGACCGAGCAACGCCGCGUGAGUGAAGAAGGUGUUCGGAUCGUAAAACUCUGUUGUUAGAGAAGAACAAGGACGUUAGUAACUGAACGUCCCCUGACGGUAUCUAACCAGAAAGCCACGGCUAACUACGUG